rnacentral:rRNA from 1 species
CGGGGUGCAGCAGGCGCGAAAACUUUACAAUGCCGGCAACGGCGAUAAGGGAACCUCGAGUGCCAGGUUAUAAAUCUGGCUGUCGUGAUGCCUAAAAAGCAUUGCAUAGCAAGGGCCGGGCAAGACCGGUGCCAGCCGCCGCGGUAACACCGGCGGCUCGAGUGGUAACCGUUAUUAUUGGGUCUAAAGGGUCUGUAGCCGGCCGGAUAAGUCUCUUGGGAAAUCCAGCAGCUCAACUGUUGGGCUUCCAGGAGAUACUGUCUGGCUCGAGGCCGGGAGAGGUGAGAGGUACUUCAGGGGUAGGGGUGAAAUCUUGUAAUCCUUGAAGGACCACCAGUGGCGAAGGCGUCUCACCAGAACGGACCUGACGGCAAGGGACGUAAGCUAGGGGCACGAACCGGAUUAGAUACCCGGGUAGUCCUAGCCGUAAACGAUACUCGCUAGGUGUCGGCCACGGUGCGACCGUGGUCGGUGCCGUAGGGAAGCCGUGAAGCGAGCCACCUGGGAAGUACGGCCGCAAGGCUGAAACUUAAAGGAAUUGGCGGGGGAGCAC